AUUGAACGCUGGCGGCAGGCCUAACACAUGCAAGUCGAGCGGAUGAAGGGAGCUUGCUCCUGGAUUCAGCGGCGGACGGGUGAGUAAUGCCUAGGAAUCUGCCUGGUAGUGGGGGAUAACGUCCGGAAACGGGCGCUAAUACCGCAUACGUCCUGAGGGAGAAAGUGGGGGAUCUUCGGACCUCACGCUAUCAGAUGAGCCUAGGUCGGAUUAGCUAGUUGGUGGGGUAAAGGCCUACCAAGGCGACGAUCCGUAACUGGUCUGAGAGGAUGAUCAGUCACACUGGAACUGAGACACGGUCCAGACUCCUACGGGAGGCAGCAGUGGGGAAUAUUGGACAAAGGGCGAAAGCCUGAUCCAGCCAUGCCGCGUGUGUGAAGAAGGUCUUCGGAUUGUAGAGCACUUUAAGUUGGGAGGAAGGGCAGUAAGUUAAUACCCUGCUGUUUUGACGUUACCAACAGAAUAAGCACCGGCUAACUUCGUG
rnacentral:rRNA from 1 species